AGCUGGUUGACAUCGGGUCAAAUCGUAAUAUUGUUGACGCAAUAUUUUCCCUUUGCGAAUGCAUUUGGUCCCCUUCAACCAGCUGU
rnacentral:pre_miRNA from 1 species